AGAACCCUCUCCCUGUUUCCUAGCCGCCGGGUUCUUUUCCCCCAGCGCCGAUGCAGCACCACACCGCACUCCGCACACCUCUGUUGAAGAUUUGAAGUCCAGGCUCAGGCCGGCCGCGCUGAAGAUGUGCAACUGAUGAGGCCGAUAUGUCCCAUGGUGACGCGCUGUGCCACCAAGGUAGCCGGAUCGAGCCGGUCUGGGCGCCUGGCCUGGUGGAUCUGGAGAUCUCUGCCACGACGGCCAGGGGCUGCGCCAUGCUUGGCUGUCGCCUCCCCUUCGUCUCUGCGAGGCACGCAUCCGUCGUCGGGGUGAUGCGCCCUGCAGCCCGCUUGGGGGAUGCGCGGUGCAGGGCUGCUCCCUCAGAUUCGUCGCUGUGCGGCACGCAUCAGUCACCUUCGCCGUCUCCUCAUCGUCAGUUAAGUGACAGAGAUGAGAGAUCCUUCUCCCUUGGUUUUGCUUCUGUUUCACCUUCCCUUUUUCUUCUGAUUUUCCAAGACGGUCUAACUGUUUGUCUACGCAUAGGUAGUUUUCUUGGAAUCCUAAUUGGUGGAGACUUUCAACCACUCACGAGUAUGGUUUGAUAAGAAUCCUGCAUUGAAGUCAAGGAAUCAUCCAAAGAAAGAUGGUGUACCUGAUUGAAGGGUUAGCACUGUUACCCCUGCAAACAUUUCCUUCUUCAGAGAUAUUGGUGCAUGGGAGCAUAUUCAACAACAAUGACAUGUGUUCUUGAUGACUUCAGCCUAUGCGGGCGGAUCUACGGCCAGAAAAGUGAGAAGACUCUCGGUUGAUGUCCGGCGAGGGGUGGUGCUGGCUGUAGAGUAGCAUAGUGUUCUCGGAGUAGCAUAAUGUUUUGGAAGACAUGCUUGUACAAUUAUUUUUUGUUUUUUUUUCAUUCGCCUCCUGCAAAGUGUAUUUUUGGUGUGUUUGUGUAAUUUAUGUUUUAAUUACAUGAGCAUAUAUUUUCUGUCAAA